rnacentral:rRNA from 1 species
GAUGAACGCUGGCGGCGUGCCUAAUACAUGCAAGUCGAGCGAACAGACGAGGAGCUUGCUCCUCUGACGUUAGCGGCGGACGGGUGAGUAACACGUGGAUAACCUACCUAUAAGACUGGGAUAACUUCGGGAAACCGGAGCUAAUACCGGAUAAUAUAUUGAACCGCAUGGUUCAAUAGUGAAAGACGGUUUUGCUGUCACUUAUAGAUGGAUCCGCGCCGCAUUAGCUAGUUGGUAAGGUAACGGCUUACCAAGGCAACGAUGCGUAGCCGACCUGAGAGGGUGAUCGGCCACACUGGAACUGAGACACGGUCCAGACUCCUGCGGGAGGCAGCAGUAGGGAAUCUUCCGCAAUGGGCGAAAGCUUGACGGAGCAACGCCGCGUGAGUGAUGAAGGUCUUCGGAUCGUAAAACCCUGUUAUUAGGGAAGAACAAAUGUGUAAGUAACUAUGCACAUCUUGACGGUACCUAAUCAGAAAGCCACGGCUAACUACGUG